GACAGGGAGGCCUGGCAUGCUGUGAUUCAUGGGGUCGCAAAGAGUCAGACACUGACUGAGCGACUGAACUGAAGUGGACCUAUAGAUUAUCAUACAGAGAAUGUCAGAAAGAGAAAAAACAAAUAUCAUAUAUUAACACACAUAUAUAUGGAAUCUAGAAGACCCUAUUUUAGAAUGCUCUCUAUUUUUAUUUGGAAUUUACAGUGAAAGACAGUGUAGGUCAGUAAGAACUUUGCAUUCAGAAGACUUGGACUUGAAUUUUGUUUCUGACAUUAAGUAUAUACAUUUCCUUGGUCAAGCAACUUAAUGCCUCAGGAUCAUUAUCUAAUGGGAGAACACUUAACUAGUGGGUUGUUAUGAAGAUUAAAGGAGAGAGUGCUGGUAAUACACUUAAAAAAUAAGAAUAAAUGUAUUUUAUUGUUUAAACCUUUUAAAUUAUAGUAUAUAACACAGAAAGACCUAUAACAUAAUGGUCCAACUUGAUGACAAAUAUUUGUAAAUAAUGAGUGGUUUCCUAAUCUUUUAUUUCUAAUAGCAGAUCUGCCCUUCUAACGUGUUAUUUACCUGGCUCACCACUGGUUCAAGGUAAAACUGAGAUGUACCAAGUAUUUUGGAUGGCUUUUCUUUCCUUUCCCAUGGUCCUUCCCUUAUUGUUACCUGUGAGUGACAUGGUCUGUGAUCAAGUUCCAUAACUCUCCAGGCAUCAGGGGUGGACAGUAAGUUCAGGCAUCCUUAGAACAUCAUACAUGUGAUUGUUUCCAUGCUUCUUCCUAAAGGGCAGCUGUCUAGCUGCUGAACCUGGGGUUGCUUUUUCUCUCUUGACCAGAUCAAAUAUUUUUUAACAUCUUCUUGUUUGCACUGAAAUGGAUAUUUUGAGAUACCAAAUAUCAGAGUCCUUGAUUUUCUGUUAAAUGCAAUGCCAGAUGAUACCCAUGUCUUGCACAGCUUUCAGCUCUCCGUCAAAAAGCAGGAUCUCUUAUUGUCCCAAAGUCCUAAGCCCCUGGAGGUAGAAUUGGUCCUUGGGUGAUUAUUGAUGCAUUAUUAUAAUGCAAGCACACUUGAAAUCGCCACCCAGGUGAAGAAAUAGAACUUUGCUAGUCACCCAAAAGUCCUCUGUGCCCCAUCUCAGUCGCAGCUUUCUGCCUUCCCCCCCAAAAGUAACUGUUAUCCUAACUUUAAAGAUAAUCACAUUCUUGCCUCUUGUCACCAAAGUGUGCAUCUCUAGAUGCUACCAUUUUGUCUUAAAAAAUUAUGUCUCUUAAAUCCCUUUUUACCAACCUGCUUUAAAAAGGACUAUAUUUUAAAAAGAACAGUUUUAGGUUCACAGCAAAAUUGUAAGGAAAUAGAGAUUCUCAUAUCCCCCCCUGCCCAACCCCUAUGCACAGCCUCCUCCAUUAUCAACACCCCGGCCACCAGAGUGGUACCUUUGUUAUAAUUGAGAGAUCUACACUGACACAUUCAUAAUCACCCCAAAUCCAUAGUUUACAUUAGAGUUCAGUCAAUAUCAUACAUUCUAAGAGUUUGCACAAACAUACAAUGACAUGUAUCUACCAUCAUAGUAUCACACAGAGUAGUUUGAUUGCUGUAAAAAUUCUCUGUGAUCCACCAGUACUCCCUCUGCCCCCAUGAUGCAUUUUUUAAUAAUGUCUCCAGCUGCCUCCCUGACAUUCUGAGGAUGAAUUUGAAUAGAGAUGGCUAAUCAAAAUUUUCAAACAUAACAAGUCCAAAGACUGCAGCCCCUUUGGCUUUUUUUUGUUUAUGUUUUUCCUAUUCUUGAAACCAACUGAGAUCAUCCAUGCCUCCAGUUCUUGUGCGUAAAGUUGCCUCCAUCUGAUAUACUCUUCCUCCAUAUCUUUGAAAAACAGACUUUUCCUCAUCAUUUAAGACACAACUCAGCUAUCACUUUGAUGACCGGUAUCACCAUCAUCACCACAUUGUCCUCUUUCAUUUCUCCCAUAUCACUCUCACUCUCUACUUUUAUCUUGAAAAUUAUCUAUUCUCCCCAAUCAAAAUCUCCCUGAGGCUUGUGGAGAUUGCCUUUUUACUCUGUCUGUUGUGUCCUUUAUGAGCAGAAUUAAAUUUUUUUUGGCUGCAGCAUGUAGCAUGCAGAUCUUAGUUCCCUAACCAGGGAUCGAACCCAUGCUCCCUGCAAUGAAAGCGUGGAGUCCUAACCAUUGGACUUCCAGGGAAGUCCCAGAAUUUAAAAUUGUUGAUGUUACCCAAUUAUCUGCUUUUUAUUUCGCCAUCUGUGCUUUAGCUGUCACAUACAAGAAAUCAUUACCAAAUCCAAUUAUCAUGAGGCUUUCCCCCUAUAUUUUCUUCUAAGAGUGUGGCUUUACCUCUUACUUUUGAGUUUUUGAUCGACUUUUAAUUCAGUUUUAUGUAUGGUUUAGGUAAGGGUCCGGUGUUAUCCUUUUCUGUGUGGAUAUCCAAUUUUCCCAGCAACACUACAACCUCUUAAAUGAUAGACUUGCUUUACCUUGACCCACCUAAUCCAUUCUCUUCCACUGGUCAGGGUGACCAUUCACAAAUAUUUAAAACUCUCUUUAGUGCUUCCACAUACAAUCUACACAUAGCCCUAAUAAUCUGGCCCCUGUCUUCUCCAGCCUCAUCCACCCCCACUUCUUCACAAGAUUCCCAGACUUGGCUACAGUGAACUGAAAAUUUGGCAGGACAGUCUCUCUCUGUGUGGAAUCUUUCUCCCCCAUCUCUGCUAGUAAACUUCAAAUAGUACUUCAACUUUUCUGAUAUUGUUAAGUUAGUUAAAUAAGGAGGUCAUUAGACUAAGUGUUCUUAUGCCUUAGCAGACCACAAGGGCAAACCAACAUCUAAGGGCACCCAAUCACAAACAGCAAACUUGGCUGUCCCUUAAAAAAGGCAACUGGGUAAGCUAUAGCCAAUCAAAUCAUCUCCUUGCUUUUCUUCUGCAUCUUCUCUGUAAAGUCUAACCCCAUCUCCUGUCUGCAGAGCACUCCUAACCACAUCAGGUUUGAUGCUGCCCAAUUCAAAUAGAUUUUAACUCAGGUAAAUAAUUUAAAAAUUGAACAUGUCUCAAUUUAUCAUUUAACAGUUCUAUUUUCCUGAAACACCUUCCCCCCUUUCCAGUAUGCAUAAGAUCAGGAGAUGGCAAACGUCAGCCCUGAGGACAGGUCCAGCCCAUCACUUGAUUAGUAGCAUCGCCAUGUCCAGUCACGUAUGUAUCGUCUGUGGCUGCUUUUGUACAAAGUGGUGAUGGCAGGACUGAAUAGAGGUGACUAUUAUAUAUGACCCCAAAAGCAAAGAAACCUAUCCUUGGCCCUUGACAGAAAAAGUCUCUGGAUCCUGGUUUAGAUAGCUCUGUUGAUGUAUUCCUAUUUUCAUCUUGCUGUGAUGGAAUGUCACAGUUUAGGCCAUCUUGUCCUAUAUCUGCCUUUUUUCUCCGUUCUCACCGUAAGAGUAGGGCCUGGGCUAACACAAUGCCUGGCACAUAAUCGGUUCUCCAUCUAUGUUAACCAAAUUAGUUCAAAACAAUUCCUUCCUAUAAAUAUCAUUAUAAGGUUAUUCUAAAUAAACUCAUUCAACUGAAUGUGAAUCUUUGAAAUCAUGCCCAUGACUAGGCCCCUGGGAGGGGUACAAAAGCAAUAGGAAAUCUGGUCAUCAUUUCUGAGAAGGACAUAAGAAUUUAAGGGUCUGGAUGGGGCACAAGAAUCAAAUGUAUUAAAAAGAGAAUGUCAUAGAGCAAAGCGAGGAUGUACUUAGAGAGCAGAGGACCAGGAUGAGAGACCCUGGUGGGACUAAUUAACACAGGCUUUUGGAAUGUAGGAAUCCCAAGUGGUGCCAAACUUGACUGCGCAUUGUAAUCAGCUGGAAUGCUUUAAAGAGCACUGAAGCCUGAGUCCCGCCCUGGGGAGUCUGAUUCAUUUGAUUGGGGUACAGACUAGGCAUCUGUUUUUUUUAAAAAUCCCUAGAUGAGUAAUGAAAAUGUUCUGGAGCUAAGUGUGAUGAUAGCAUGACAUUGUGAAUGUAUUAAAUGUCACAAAUGUGACUCUUAUGUGUAAAUUUCAUGUUUGUGUAUUUUAAUACAGACACGUGCAAUCACCCACAUGCUUGUGUCAAACAGUUCCCAGGUGAUUUUAAUGACAAGUCAAAGUUGGGCAUCAGUGAGCCUUUGUUACAAUUUCUGAGAUAAUAAGAGUCAAGUGGAGGUCUUUAUUAAAUAAUUAGGCUGCCAGAAUGCUGAGCCAGAAAUUUCCAUUCUGUUGAUCUUGUUGGGAGCAAAGAAAUUUUCUUUCCAACUAGAGCCCCAGGUGAUUCUUAUUGCAAGAGAAGUUUGGGAAAUCCAGUCUAGUUUAGUGCUUCCCAGAGUUGCUCAAUCUAAAAAAAACUCUUGGGGCUCUCUUAAGCUCGAUUCUGGAACCAACACCAGAGAGUCUCCAGAAUAAAGAUGGGACUCCGCAGGUUUAAGCUACCCAGCUGAUUCUUUGAAGCAGGCAAAUUUAAGAAGCGCUCUCUAGUUCAGUCCUUGAUAUUGGUUGGCUCUUCUACAAAACUUCUGAAGGCUUAAAAGAGAAUCAAAUUCCCUUCUCCCAAAGAUGCCGAUUCUGGGGUAGGGUCUAAACAUCGACAGCUUUUUGUCCCUUAAGUCUCCCUGUUUUCCCCACCUCAGAGCCUCUGACAACCACUUGUCUACUGUUUCUAGGAGUUUGACAUUUUCCCCCUCAUUGAUCGAACCCAGGCCAUGGCAGUGAAAGUGCCAAAUCCUACCCACCUGACAGCCAGGGAAUUCCCCGGAUACUCUUAUGUUGGAUGUGUAGAAGGGAAGAGACACAGGCAUGGCCUGUUGUCCCACAGCGCCUUGAGCAGUCCUCAGAUCAAAUACAUUCCAGAUCCAGACAAAGAGAAGUCUGGCCAAAGCAGUAACCCACAUCAGUGCCACCUACGGAUUAAUGGCUUGCCUGUUCUGGUCCCUAGAAUCUUGGUGCCGUGGUCAGGUAGGGUUCACAGUUCAGUGGUUAUUGAAUGUGCUUAGCUGUGAAGGAGACAAUUACAUUGUAAGGAUUAGUAAUCUCCCUUCAAAUUCCUUAUUUAUGUGUCUGUCUCCUGGCUAGAUGGAGAACUUCUGGAGACAGGAGCUUUAUUUAUUGUUUUAUCUCCAGCAGUUACCUCAAGGGCUUGGCAUAGAAUGGAGAUUUAUAAUUGUUGAUAUAAUUAAUGAUUGGAAUAGACCAUGUCUCUUUGGAAAUACCAAAAUGAUGAUCAACUCAUUUUGAUCUACCUGCGGGAUUUCUGUCUUCAACAAUAAUAGAGUAUGAAGGUGGAGCACAGAGAAAAGUAAACAUUAAAUUUCAGCCUAAAAACACGAUAGGAAACCUCCGAGGUUUUUGAGUGACUGAUUGCCACGUGCAACAGGAGGCUACCACAGCAGUGCCCGGCUGAAAAUGUUGGUGUCCCCUGGAAUCGGCACUGGUGACCUGUUUCGGCAGAGACAGCCAUUGUGCUGUUGCAUCCUUCCAACCUAGCACCUGAGUCAGCGCUUUGGGGAAAAAAACUUACUCAUUUUCAAAGUUUUCACUGGCCAAAACGUCAGUGACUGACAGCUCCAGCACCCACUCCUGUGAGAGCCGCUGCCCUUCCUCACCCACGUGGCCCCUGUGGGCAGCACCCACUCCUGUGAGCGCCGGUGCCCUUCCUCACCCACGUGGCCCCUGUGGAAGGCAUCAUUUUCUUCUGUGAACCCACACCCCAAUCUCAGCUGAGCUGGGUGUCUUCCUGCAAUUUAUUGUCAUAUGAAGAAAACCAGUCUACAGUGACAACCCACAGAGCCAAAAUGGGGAGACAAAGAAGAGCGACCAAGAGAGAGAAAGGACCACUGGCUGGUUUUAGGGCCCUGGUUCCAGUCUUGAGCUCAGCCACAUGUCUGCUGGGUUUGGUUGUUUUAACUCUUCUUGAGUUCUGCAAACCAGUAAGUUCUUCUUUCUCUCUCUGUUGCUUAGAGAAGUGUUUCUAUCACUUGGAACCAAGCAAAUACAACAUCAAGAGCAGUUUAUGGUUGCCACCAGGCAAAGUUCUUUUUCCUGCACUUACUUGAAUGAUCUGUAUCUCUAGACUGUGGUUGCUAGAAACUAUUAUCUGAGUUACUCUUCUCAUUAGAAACUGCUGGUGAAGAUGGGAGAACUAAGCUCUAUGAAGAUUUGUUUUACUUAAUCCAGAGAUACAAAAAAUGCCCUUACACCCACAUGAUAGAAUGACUUUUUAUUUUAUUUUUAAACUACAAUAUUGUAUUGGUUUUGCCAAAUAUUGAAAUGAAUCUGCCACAGGUAUACAUGUGUUCCCCAUCCUGAACCCUCCUCCCU